AUGAACGCUGGCGGCGUGCUUAACACAUGCAAGUCGAACGAAGCAUUUAAGACGGAUUCUUUCGGGAUGAAGACUUUUAUGACUGAGUGGCGGACGGGUGAGUAACGCGUGGGUAACCUGCCUCACACAGGGGGAUAGCAGUUGGAAACGGCUGAUAAUACCGCAUAAGCGCACAGUACCGCAUGGUACAGUGUGAAAAACUCCGGUGGUGUGAGAUGGACCCGCGUCUGAUUAGCUUGUUGGCAGGGUAACGGCCUACCAAGGCAACGAUCAGUAGCCGACCUGAGAGGGUGACCGGCCACAUUGGGACUGAGACACGGCCCAGACUCCUACGGGAGGCAGCAGUGGGGAAUAUUGCACAAUGGAGGAAACUCUGAUGCAGCGACGCCGCGUGAGUGAAGAAGUAAUUCGUUAUGUAAAGCUCUAUCAGCAGGGAAGAUAGUGACGGUACCUGACUAAGAAGCUCCGGCUAAAUACGUG
rnacentral:rRNA from 1 species